ACAUCUUUAGCUAAAUGGUAAAGCAAUUACCUUCGAAGUAAUAGAUUAUUGGUUCAAUUCCAUUAAGAUGUU
rnacentral:tRNA from 1 species